rnacentral:rRNA from 1 species
AUUAAACGCUGGCGGCAUGCCUUACACAUGCAAGUCGAACGGUAACAGGUUAAGCUGACGAGUGGCGAACGGGUGAGUAAUGCAUCGGAACGUGCCCGGUCGUGGGGGAUAACGCAGCGAAAGCUGCGCUAAUACCGCAUACGAUCUGAGGAUGAAAGCGGGGGACCGUAAGGCCUCGCGCGAUCGGAGCGGCCGAUGUCAGAUUAGGUAGUUGGUGGGGUAAAGGCUCACCAAGCCGACGAUCUGUAGCUGGUCUGAGAGGACGACCAGCCACACUGGAACUGAGACACGGUCCAGACUCCUACGGGAGGCAGCAGUGGGGAAUAUUGCGCAAUGGGCGAAAGCCUGACGCAGCCACGCCGCGUGAGUGAUGAAGGCC